AGGCUUGUCCCUCGCCGCCCGCCGUAGCCCGGCGCUGGCCGGUCGCCGUUUCCAAGAUGGCCGCAGCGCGAGCGGCCCCUGCGGCGGGUUAGAGGCGGAGGCGGAGCCGAGUCACUCCUGCACUUCAAGACUCCGGUGCCCCGCGCAGGCUGCAGCUCAGAGCUCAGUGCCCGCCACGGCCAUGCGGGGCUCCAUGCACGGAUGAGAGAAGCCGCCGCCGACCUGGUUCCCCCGCCCGUCUCCGCCGUCACCCCCGACGCCGCCAUGGAGGAGCCGCCGCCACCGCCGCCACCGCUGCCGGCGGAGCCCGAGCCCGAGCCCGAGCGCUGUCGCGCGGCGAGGCAAGAGUGCACGUUGGGAGAUCCAGCUUGCAAGACUUCUGAAUCUGAUCCAGAGGACUUUUCGGAUGAAACAAACACAGAGAACCUUUAUGGCAACUCUCCCCCCAGCACACCUCGGCAGAUGAAACGCAUGUCAGCGAAACACCAGAGGAACAACGUGGGCAGGCCUGCCGGUCGAUCUACUUCGAAAGAAAAAAUGAACGUGUCAAGCCAGCCUCCACAUAAAGACACUGGAAAACUCGGGGAGACUGUGGAAGAAUACAGCUAUAAGCAGGAGAAGAAGAUCCGAGCGGCCCUUAGGACAACUGAGCGCGAUCAUAAGAAGAACGUGCAGUGCUCAUUCAUGCUGGACUCCGUGGGUGGGUCUUUGCCCAAAAAGUCGAUCCCAGACGUGGAUCUGAACAAGCCUUACCUCAGUCUUGGCUGCAGCCACGCCAAGCUGCCAGUGUCUGUGCCCAUGCCCAUCGCCAGAACUGCACGGCAGACUUCCAGGACCGACUGUCCCGCAGAUCGCCUCAAGUUUUUUGAAACGUUACGACUUCUGCUAAAGCUUACCUCAGUCUCAAAGAAGAAGGACAGGGAGCAAAGAGGACAGGAGAAUACAUCUGCUUUCUGGUUUAACCGAUCUAACGAGCUGAUCUGGUUAGAGCUACAAGCCUGGCAUGCAGGACGGACCAUUAAUGACCAGGACCUCUUUUUAUAUACAGCCCGUCAAGCCAUCCCAGACAUCAUCAAUGAGAUCCUUACUUUCAAAGUGAAUUACGGGAGCUUUGCUUUUGUUAGAAAUGGAGCUGGUUUUAAUGGCACUUCAGUAGAAGGGCAGUGCGGAGCCCCUCAUGGGACACGGGCUGCGGGUUAUUCAACAUACCACGAGCAUCUCCAACGCCAGAGGGUAUCAUUUGAGCAGGUCAAACGAAUAAUGGAGCUGCUGGAGUACAUAGAAGCACUUUAUCCAUCGUUGCAGGCUCUUCAAAAGGACUACGAAAAAUAUGCUGCAAAAGACUUCCAGGACAGGGUGCAGGCACUCUGUUUGUGGUUAAACAUCACAAAAGACUUAAAUCAGAAGUUAAGGAUUAUGGGCACUGUUUUGGGCAUCAAGAAUUUGUCAGACAUUGGCUGGCCAGUGUUUGAAAUCCCUUCUCCUCGAUCAUCCAAGGGCAAUGAGCCAGAAGACGAGGGCGAUGACACAGAAGGAGAAUUGAAAGAAUUGGAAAGUAGCACAGAUGAGAGUGAAGAAGAACAAAUCAUUGAUCCAGGGGUACCAGAAACCAGACAGCCCGUUGACAACACUUCCAACAGCCAGUCUCAGGACUGCAUAUCCAAGAAGCUUGAGCGGCUUGAAUCUGAGGACGAUUCUUUUGGCUGGGGAGCACCAGACUGCAGCACAGAAGGAGGCUUCAGUAGACAUUGUCUCACUUCUAUUUAUAGACCAUUUGUAGACAAAGCACUGAAGCAGAUGGGGCUAAGAAAGCUAAUUUUAAGACUUCACAAGCUGAUGGAUGGUUCCUUGCAAAGGGCACGUAUAGCACUGGUGAAGAGUGACCAUCCAGUGGAGUUUUCCGAGUUUCCAGAUCCCAUGUGGGGUUCCGACUAUGUGCAGCUGUCCAGGACGCCACGUGCCUCGGAGCAGAAGUGCAGCACUGUGUCUUGGGAUGAGCUGAAGGCCAUGGAUUUACCCUCCUUCGAACCUGCCUUCCUGGUUCUCUGUCGGGUCCUUCUGAAUGUCAUACACGAGUGUCUGAAGUUGAGAUUGGAACAGAGGCCCGCCGGAGAGCCGUCUCUCUUGAGUAUUAAGCAGCUGGUCAGAGAGUGUAAAGAGGUGCUCAAGGGUGGCCUCUUAAUGAAACAGUACUACCAGUUCAUGCUGCACCAGGUCCUGGACGGCCUGGGGAAGGCGGACUGCAACAUCGACGCCUUCGAGGAGGACCUGCAUAAGAUGCUGAUGGUAUAUUUCGAUUACAUGAGGAGCUGGAUCCAAAUGCUACAGCAGUUGCCUCAAGCAUCCCACAGUUUAAAAAAUCUAUUAGAAGAAGAAUGGAAUUUCACCAAAGAAAUAACGCAUUACAUCCGGGGAGGAGAAGCACAGGCUGGCAAACUUUUCUGUGAUAUUGCAGGAAUGCUGCUGAAGUCCACAGGAAGUUUUUUAGAGUUUGGCCUUCAGGAGAGCUGUGCUGAGUUUUGGACCAGUGCUGACGACAGUAGUGCUUCAGAUGAAAUAAGGAGGUCUGUUAUAGAGAUCAGCCGUGCCCUGAAGGAGCUCUUCCAUGAAGCCAGAGAAAGGGCCUCCAAAGCCCUGGGCUUCGCUAAGAUGUUGAGAAAGGACCUGGAAAUAGCUGCUGAGUUCAUACUUUCAGCUCCAGUUAGAGACCUUCUGGAUGUGCUGAAAUCAAAACAGUAUGUUAAGGUACAAAUUCCUGGCUUAGAAAACUUGCAAGUGUUUGUUCCAGACACUCUCGCUGAGGAGAAGAGUGUUAUUUUGCAGUUACUCAAUGCAGCUGCAGGAAAGGACUGCUCUAAAGAGUCCGACGACGUGCUCUUUGACGCCUAUCUGCUUCUGACCAAGCCCAGUGACCGCGCUCGGGAUGCAGAUGACAGCUGGGCCACGUGGGAGGCACCACCUGUCAAAGUCGUGCCGCAGGUGGAGACUGCGGACACCCUGCGCAGCAUGCAGGUGGAUAAUCUUUUAUUAGUUGUCAUGCAGUCAGCUCAUCUCAUCAUUCAAAGAAAAGCUUUCCAGCAGUCCAUCGAGGGACUCAUGACUCUGCGGCAGGAGCAGACGUCCAGUCAGCCAGUCAUCGCCAGAGCUUUGCAGCAGCUCAAGAAUGAUGCACUAGAGCUUUGCAACAGAAUAAGCGAUGCCAUUGACCGAGUGGACCACAUGUUCACGUCAGAGUUUGACGCUGAAGUUGAUGAGUCCGAAUCUGUCACGCUUCAGCAGUACUACCGAGAAGCCAUGAUCCAGGGCUACAAUUUUGGGUUCGAGUAUCAUAAAGAAGUUGUUCGUUUGAUGUCUGGAGAGUUUAGACAGAAGAUAGGAGACAAAUAUAUAAGCUUUGCCCGGAAAUGGAUGAAUUAUGUCCUAACUAAAUGUGAGAGUGGUAGAGGUACAAGACCCAGGUGGGCAACUCAAGGUUUUGACUUUCUACAAGCCAUUGAACCUGCCUUUAUUUCAGCUUUACCAGAAGAUGACUUUUUGAGUUUACAAGCCUUGAUGAAUGAAUGCAUUGGCCACGUGAUAGGAAAGCCGCACAGUCCUGUUACAGGUUUGUACCUUGCUAUUCAUCGGAACAGCCCCCGUCCUGUGAAGGUCCCGAGAUGCCACAGUGACCCUCCUAACCCCCAUCUAAUUAUCCCGACUCCAGAGGGAUUCAGCACUCGGAGCAUGCCUUCCGACGCGCGGAGCCACGGUGGCCCUGCUGCUACAGCCACUGCCGCCGCCACCGCCGGUCGCCCCGGCCCGUCGGGCAGCGACUCUGCGCCGCCCAAACCCAUCAGCAGUGCCCAUGAUGCCAGGGGUUCCAGUGUCCCUGAAAAUGAUCGGUUGGCUUCCAUAGCAGCUGAAUUGCAGUUUAGGUCCCUGAGUCGUCACUCAAGCCCCACCGAGGAGCGCGAUGAACCAGCAUAUCCAAAAGGGGAUUCCAGUGGCUCAACGCGGAGAAGCUGGGAGCUUCGGACGCUCAUUAGCCAGACUAAGGAUACUGCGUCUAAACAAGGGCCCAUAGAAGCUAUCCAGAAGUCAGUCCGAUUGUUCGAAGAAAAGAGGUCUCGGGAAAUGAGGAGAAGGAAUAUCAUCGGUCAAGUUUGUGACACCCCUAAAUCCUACGAUAAUGUUAUGCACGUCGGCUUGAGGAAAGUGACCUUCAAGUGGCAAAGAGGAAACAAAAUUGGAGAAGGGCAGUAUGGGAAGGUCUACACCUGUAUCAGUGUGGACACCGGGGAACUGAUGGCUAUGAAGGAGAUUCGAUUUCAACCCAACGACCAUAAAACCAUCAAGGAAACUGCAGACGAGCUGAAAAUCUUUGAAGGCAUCAAGCACCCCAAUCUGGUUCGGUAUUUUGGUGUGGAGCUUCACAGAAGCACAGUAACUUUGCCUAAUUAUCAGGAAAUCUCCAUGAGUUACACCAUUUCUGCCUUCUCUCUGAAACUAGAGGAGUUCUUCCUGAAAUGAAGAAAUGUACAUCUUCAUGGAGUACUGUGACGAGGGCACGUUGGAAGAGGUGUCCCGCCUGGGGCUGCAGGAGCACGUCAUCCGGCUGUAUUCUAAGCAGAUCACCGUGGCUAUCAAUGUCCUCCAUGAGCAUGGCAUAGUCCACCGGGACAUUAAAGGUGCCAAUAUCUUCCUUACCUCAUCUGGCCUAAUCAAACUGGGAGAUUUCGGAUGCUCUGUAAAGCUGAAAAACAAUGCACAGACCAUGCCCGGUGAAGUGAACAGCACCCUGGGGACAGCAGCAUACAUGGCUCCGGAAGUCAUCACUCGUGCGAAAGGAGAAGGCCACGGGCGUGCGGCCGACAUCUGGAGUCUGGGCUGUGUUGUCAUAGAGAUGGUGACUGGCAAGAGGCCUUGGCAUGAAUAUGAACACAACUUUCAGAUUAUGUAUAAAGUGGGAAUGGGGCAUAAACCACCAAUCCCUGAAAGGUUGAGCCCGGAAGGGAAGGACUUCCUGUCUCACUGCCUGGAGAGUGAGCCCAGGAUGAGGUGGUCCGCCAGCCAACUCCUCGACCAUUCCUUCGUCAAGGUCUGCACAGAUGAAGAAUGAAGCCAGGCGGUCCGUGCCUCGUAGUCGUGUACUCGGAAGUUCUCUUAAUCACUACUGUAUGUAAUAUUUACAUGAAGACUGCUGAGAAGCAGUAUAAGCCUUUUUGACCCUCUAAGACUGAAGGCUGCACAGGUGACCAGCGUCACUGCUCCUGCUGCUCCUGGUGGUUUGACCUGGCACGGGGCCCUUCUGAGCGACAGUCUCCACGAGGUAAAGAAGCUGCAUGUUAAGUGCCAUUACUACUGUACACGGACCAUCGCCUCUGUCAUCGUUUCUCACGUGACGGAGAACCGUGGCAUCAGUGUAGGAUUUUUGACCUUACUGAUUCAAAAGCAGUUGUGGUGUUAUCAGGCGUCCUGGGCCUUGUGAUCUCCUGUUUGUUUGUCGAGCGCACUGACUGUGAAAAACCUUACCUUUUGUUGUUGUUGGCAAGUCACAGGUUUGUUUUGCAAAAGGCUGAUUAAUGAAAUUUAAGAAAAGGUUCUUUUUUCAAUAAAUGGUUUAUUUUAGGAAAGC